UGGGGAAUUUUGCACAAUGGGGGAAACCCUGAUGCAGCGACGCCGCGUGAUUUAGAAGGCCUUCGGGUUGUAAAAAUCUUUUUUAUGGGAUGAAAAUGACAGUACCAUAAGAAUAAGGUCCGGCUAAAUACGUGCCAGCAGCCGCGGUAAUACGUAUGGACCGAGCGUUGUCCGGAAUCAUUGGGCGUAAAGCGAGCGCAGGCGGUUAGAUAAGUCUGAAGUUAAAGGCAGUGGCUCAACCAUUGUAGGCUUUGGAAACUGUUUAACUUGAGUGCAGAAGGGGAGAGUGGAAUUCCAUGUGUAGCGGUGAAAUGCGUAGAUAUAUGGAGGAACACCGGUGGCGAAAGCGGCUCUCUGGUCUGUAACUGACGCUGAGGCUCGAAAGCGUGGGGAGCGAACAGG
rnacentral:rRNA from 1 species